UAUUCACACAAAAAUCUCUCUCAGAUAAAACUUGAAGAAAUUUUUUUUUAGUGUCAAUCUCUUAAUUGAGAAAAUUUGUUUACCGAGAUUUUCUGAAACUUUAUCUUCUACCUCAAACACUAAACACCAUUGAAGAGUAUCAGUGUUACUCAACUCUAGGAAAGAGAUUUUUGGUGAGAGGUGAUUCAUUAGUUGUUCUAAUGUUUUUGUGAAGAUUUUUCCGAUAAAAAAACUAGGUUUGUGGAUUUCUAGAAAUUAAACUUCAUUGAAGGAAAAAAAAGAAGUCAUUUCCAAGAGGUUUUGGAGUUUCUAGCAUCUAUCAACAGUUCAAGAUUCAGACAACGCAAUCAUGGUAGAAUCAAGUGAAAAUUAUAUCGGAACAAGAUGAUGGAGUGCUUGAAGAUUGUGAAAAUGUAUCGGCUCAAGAUCCUGAAAGAUAUUGUUCAAAAGAGUUUGGGAUGAAUAUAAAGGAACCGCAUUGUCAUUCCCUACUGAGGCAUGGAAGAAGCAAAUGGAAAAGGAGCUUGUCAAAAAUUGGACAACUAAUGAGAGACCAUACAUGGGGAUGGUUUCACAUGAUAUUCAAGUAGAAAUGCUAUUUCUUCAAACCCAAGAUAUUUUCGCAGCAAAGAAGUUAUUACGG